rnacentral:pre_miRNA from 1 species
AGCUGCAUUACAGGGCAAGUUCUCCAUUGGCAGGUAGCCACUAUGAUGCAUGCAUCUCAUGCUUGCAACUUUCUUAGCGUGCAAUCUGCCAAAGGAGAUUUGCCCAGCGAUUCUCCU